UACGUAGGGACCAAGCGUUGUUCGGAUUUACUGGGCGUAAAGGGCGCGUAGGCGGCUUAACAAGUCACUUGUGAAAUCUCCGGGCUUAACUCGGAACGGCCAAGUGAAACUGUCAAGCUAGAGUGCAGAAGGGGCAACUGGAAUUCUCGGUGUAGCGGUGAAAUGCGUAGAUAUCGUAAGGAAGACCAGUGGCGAAGGCGGGUCUCUGGACAGUUCCUGACGCUGAGGCACGAAGGUCAGGGGAGCAAACGGG
rnacentral:rRNA from 1 species